CUUGGACUCCUGUAGUCCAAGAGAUCGGGACUGUAUAUAUAUAUAUAUAUAUAUAUAUUUACAACAAAUAAUAUAAUAUUUACAAUUACUUUUACAACGAGCUAAUACAUCAACACAGUCCCGAUCUCUUGGACCACAGGAGUCCAAG
rnacentral:miRNA from 1 species